rnacentral:rRNA from 1 species
AUUGAACGCUGGCGGCAGGCCUAACACAUGCAAGUCGAGCGGAUGAAGGGAGCUUGCUCCUGUAUUCAGCGGCGGACGGGUGAGUAAUGCCUAGGAAUCUGCCUGGUAGUGGGGGAUAACGUCCGUAAACGGGCGCUAAUACCGCAUACGUCCUGAGGGAGAAAGUGGUGGAUCUUCGGACCUCACGCUAUCAGAUGACCCUAGGUCGGAUUAGCUAGUUGGUGGGGUAAAGGCCUACCAAGGCGACGAUCCGUAACUGGUCUGAGAGGAUGAUCAGUCACACUGGAACUGAGACACGGUCCAGACUCCUACGGGAGGCAGCAGUAGGGAAUAUUGGACAAUGGGCGAAAGCCUGAUCCAGCCAUGCCGCGUGUGUGAAGAAGGUCUUCGGAUUGUAAAGCACUUUAAGUUGGGAGGAAGGGCAGUAAGUUAAUACCUUGCUGUUUUGACGUUACCAACAGAAUAAGCACCGGCUAACUUCGUG